AACUUUGUUGGACCUCUUUACAUUUACUUUACUGUUAGAAUUGCUUCUAUUUUGAAUACCAAUCCUUUCAAAGCCGGCACUUGUAAUGGUUUUAAUCUAGCUCCAAGGGCUCUGUGUUGUCUCUAAGCAAGAGAAAAAAAGCAUCCUGGAAAAGUCAGCCCUCUGUGUCCCCAAAAAGGGGGGUGGAGGGAUGGUGGGGUACCACAGAAAAAGGGCAGAGGAUUGUGGCCGAGGGCCUUAGGUUCAACCCCAGAACCGUCAUUUGCUACUUGAGGCUUACCCUCUCUGACUUCCAUUUUCUCCUGUCUAGAUGGGCAUAAAGUUAUCCCACUACUUCAGAGUAUUAUAAUGAAGGUCAGAUGGGAUUGCAGAUGUCAGAGCACAUUGAAAAUAGUCACAACAUCAACAUUAAUCAUUAUUAGAGCAAAGAGUGGAGAUGCUCAAUGGGCUUGUUGGGUCUAUCCAAAGACAGAACAUUAUAGGAGAAGAAACUAUCUCAAGAAAUUAUAAGCUCCCUGAGGGCAGAGACCACAGACUGGGAAAGUCCUUCUCCUUCCAAGAUGGAACUUAAGACAGGCAGGGCUGGCAGAUGAAGGGGGGCAGCGCUCAGGCUCCCUGCAUGCCAUGUCCACACCUUAAUGCUCUGAUCCAGCAUAUGACAGCAUUGCUGGGCUCCUGGGCUUGGAGCACCAUGUUUCUUUUACUUUAACACAAGCAAGAGAGAGAGAAGACAAAAAGAUAGGCAGCUAGGGGAUCUCAAUAGCUGCCCAGCCCAAGCACCAGCAGCCAUUGGAUGGGGAAGACCGACCAGGAGUGAAGCCUGAGAGUGGGUCUGGUUGCUCCCCUCACCUCAGCUGGGAAGGUUGCUCAGAGGAAAGAAGUGUGGCCCUAGACUCUGAAGGGUGUCAUCGGCGCCUGUUCCAGCAGCCCCUUUGGGGCUGGCAUUCCUCUUCAAGCCCCAGCACCUAUGGUCAUUUUUCUUCCUGAUUUAUGUUUCCUGUGGAAAGUCUGAAGAAAAACCGUGGAGCAUCUUUUGAGUUUGCCUUUGGAAGGGAGAAAAUAUGCUCCUUCUCUGCUGGGCAAACAUCACAAACAUUGGUGCUUUCACAAUUCAAACACAAGCUGGUUUUCAAAGCCUCCCCGCCUGGCGGCCCGUGGAGCUGUCGCUGUCAGAGGGAGGAUGGGCUGCAGCCACCUGGGUUGGGGAGGUUUGCUUUGGGAGCGGAGCUUGGAAUUUGUGAAUUUUCUACUCCAAGCACAUCCAAAUUGUGCAGCCACAGCCCCCUUCUGCACAACCUCGUUCAGGCAACCGGGGCUCCAUCUGCCUGGGCUGGGGUGGAGAGCCAAGGGCCUCGGAUGACUCCCUGCCCCACCACCCCCAAGCCUGUGGCAGGGCAGGGGGAGGCUUAGUGGGAGGACAAAGAUGAACAAAGAUGCCCUCAGGAACUCUGGUCCUGCUCUCAGGGCGAUGCUGAGCACAGAGGGUGGAGGUGAGAGUGAAGGGGAUACGCUUCUGCAUCCACACAUUUUCCGGCCUCCCAAACACGAAUCAGGGCAGAAGUUGUUCCUAUAAAGCGGAAUUGUGAGAGGCAGCUGCAGACUGUGGGCUGUCUGGCUCUUUCCAUUAGUCUGUAACAAGGGUCUCCUUCCUUCCUCCAACCCUUCCUCCCUCUUUCCUCCCCCUCCUCCUUCCUUCUUUUCCUUCCUUCCUUGCUUCCUUCCUUCACAAGAGAAUAAUAUAAUAACUGCCAAGCACCCAUCAAUAGCUUUAACAAUUAUCAACUCAUGGCUAAUCUUAUUUCAUCUGUAACUACACCUACCCCAGCCACUCCCUGAACUCCCACUGGAAUGUUUUGAAGCAGAUUCCAGGUAUCAUUUUAUCCAUAGAUAUCUGGACUUUUUUUUUUUUUUUUUAAGUAUUGGACUCUUAGGAACAUCAAGGACCCACUCUCCUCUCCCACCACUUAGAAAAAUGCUCCCCCCAGGCUUACCUAUAAAUAUUGCAAAUCACUGCAGGGGUCCAGGGAACCUCUGAGGCACAUCUGAAGACCUUAAAUUGAAAACCUCAGAUAUAUAGGAUAAUUUCUACCUCCAAAGGAGAACCUUCUUUUUGAUAGCUUGGAACUAUUAGCUGGUCCAUCAAAGGAGAUUUGCUCUCUUAUGUUAUUUGCAAUAUUUACUGAGUGCAUGGACCAGAGCCAGGUUAGAAAAGGGGCCCAAAGCAGGGCAGC